CCUCCUUACUUCCUGUUCUCACUAAGCAACCUAAUGAAGUUUUCCUCACAGAUGGGGUUUCCUCCCAGGAAAAAGAAAAAAAAAACAGUUGAUGUAGUCUUGCUACUGAGCCAAAGUUCUGUAAUCACUGGAUUGUAUAACCUUGAGGAAAAGAAAAAGAGAAGCUCUGAGUAACUGUGAAAAGUGCUGGUUCCCACUGAGAUACUGAUUGGACAACAGAUGACUGCCUAUCUUAGAGAAUGUCAAGGGAGUGCCAUUAUCUAAGGAUGCAGGAGGAUGGAAGGAAAGAGAAUGAAGAGAAAACACAUUUUUGCUGAAUUGAAAAAGAUAAUUUUAAAAGGUAUAUGGAAAAUAGAUGGGAUAGCAGGAAGAAGGCCAUUUUGAUUGGAAAGUAGAAUAAAAUUUUCUUUUAAAAA